CGAACGCUGGCGGCAGGCUUAACACAUGCAAGUCGAGCGCCCCGCAAGGGGAGCGGCAGACGGGUGAGUAACGCGUGGGAACGUGCCCUUUGGUUCGGAACAACUCCGGGAAACUGGAGCUAAUACCGGAUAAGCCCUUCGGGGGAAAGAUUUAUCGCCAAAGGAUCGGCCCGCGUCUGAUUAGCUAGUUGGUGAGGUAAUGGCUCACCAAGGCGACGAUCAGUAGCUGGUCUGAGAGGAUGAUCAGCCACACUGGGACCGAGACACGGCCCAGACUCCUACGGGAGGCAGCAGUGGGGAAUAUUGGACAAUGGGCGCAAGCCUGAUCCAGCCAUGCCGCGUGAGUGAUGAAGGCCUUAGGGUUGUAAAGCUCUUUUGUCCGGGAAGAUAAUGACUGUACCGGAAGAAUAAGCCCCGGCUAACUUCGUG
rnacentral:rRNA from 1 species